rnacentral:rRNA from 1 species
GUUGACCUCGGAUCAGGUAGGAUACCCGCUGAGUAAGUAAG